rnacentral:lncRNA from 1 species
ACAGGAAGGUUGAAGAUCUCAAAGAGAGGAUUAACGUCCUUGAGAGAUAGAGGUCUGAGGCUAAGAGAGACUGUCGUUAGACCUGUGAUGACCUGGAGCAUCUGAGGAGGAUACUUGAAGCGAGAAGAGGUUCUCCUUGUCUUAAAACUCACCCUCAAAGAAGCCUCAGUGGUAGUCCAUUCAAAAGGAUCAGAAUCUUCGAAGAGAUGAGUCGAGGAGAGAG